rnacentral:rRNA from 1 species
AGAGUUUGAUCCUGGCUCAGGACGAACGCUGGCGGCGUGCCUAAUACAUGCAAGUAGAACGCUGAAGGAGGAGCUUGCUUCUCUGGAUGAGUUGCGAACGGGUGAGUAACGCGUAGGUAACCUGCCUGGUAGCGGGGGAUAACUAUUGGAAACGAUAGCUAAUACCGCAUAAGAGUAGAUGUUGCAUGACAUUUGCUUAAAAGGUGCACUUGCAUCACUACCAGAUGGACCUGCGUUGUAUUAGCUAGUUGGUGGGGUAAGGGCUCACCAAGGCGACGAUACAUAGCCGACCUGAGAGGGUGAUCGGCCACACUGGGACUGAGACACGGCCCAGACUCCUACGGGAGGCAGCAGUAGGGAAUCUUCGGCAAUGGACGGAAGUCUGACCGAGCAACGCCGCGUGAGUGAAGAAGGUUUUCGGAUCGUAAAGCUCUGUUGUAAGAGAAGAACGAGUGUGAGAGUGGAAAGUUCACACUGUGACGGUAUCUUACCAGAAAGGGACGGCUAACUACGUGCCAGCAGCCGCGGUAAUACGUAGGUCCCGAGCGUUGUCCGGAUUUAUUGGGCGUAAAGCGAGCGCAGGCGGUUAGAUAAGUCUGAAGUUAAAGGCUGUGGCUUAACCAUAGUAGGCUUUGGAAACUGUUUAACUUGAGUGCAAGAGGGGAGAGUGGAAUUCCAUGUGUAGCGGUGAAAUGCGUAGAUAUAUGGAGGAACACCGGUGGCGAAAGCGGCUCUCUGGCUUGUAACUGACGCUGAGGCUCGAAAGCGUGGGGAGCAAACAGGAUUAGAUACCCUGGUAGUCCACGCUGUAAACGAUGAGUGCUAGGUGUUAGACCCUUUCCGGGGUUUAGUGCCGUAGCUAACGCAUUAAGCACUCCGCCUGGGGAGUACGANUAUCUAAACUAUUUCUUAUUUCAAUUUGAUGAUUUGGCGAUGAUUUUAGAGCACGGCAAAAAGCCCUUGAAAAAGUCCAUUUUUUCAAAGGUAAUCCUGUGUUAAUUUCAGAAAUUACAUCACUUUUUGUUCGUCAAAUGGCAGCUCUUUUUUAGGAUAUAAAACAGGGUUCGGAUAAGUUUUUUUGCAAGGUGGAUGAUGGCUACAUUGUAAUGUUUUCCUUAUUCUAACUUAGUCUUAAGAUAGGCCUUAAAAGCAGGUGAAAAGCGAGCGCAUGCUUUGGCAGCUUGUAUGAGUGCCCACCGCAGAUGAGGGGAACCCCGUUUGAUCAUUCUUCCAGCUAAAUCAAUCUGACCUGACUGAUAAAUAGAAGAAUCCAGUCCAGCGAAAGCUUGUAAUUGAGCAGGAUUAUCAAAGGCAUGAAUAUUUCGAAUCUCGGCUAAAAUGACCGCCCCUAAACGACCCCCAAUCCCAGUAACCGUCGUGAUGACCGAGUUGAACUCAGCCAUCAAGUCAUUGACACAUGUUUCCGCCUUGUCAAUGAGCCUCUUGUAAUGUUUGAUGAUUUCGAUGAUUUCGAAUUCACGAGCAGGAGAUGUUGUUCCGAUAGAACGAGGU